UACGAAGGGUGCAAGCGUUACUCGGAAUUACUGGGCGUAAAGCGUGCGUAGGUGGUUUGUUAAGUCUGAUGUGAAAGCCCUGGGCUCAACCUGGGAAUUGCAUUGGAUACUGGCAGGCUAGAGUGCGGUAGAGGAUGGCGGAAUUCCCGGUGUAGCAGUGAAAUGCGUAGAGAUCGGGAGGAACAUCUGUGGCGAAGGCGGCCAUCUGGACCAGCACUGACACUGGAGGCACGAAAGCGUGGGGAGCAAACAGG
rnacentral:rRNA from 1 species